rnacentral:rRNA from 1 species
GAAACGGCGCUGGAUAAUACCUGGCGUAACUGACGGUACGUGCAGAAUAAGCACCGGCUAACUACGUGCCAGCAGCCGCGGUAAUACGUAGGGUGCAAGCGUUAAUCGGAAUUAAUGGGCGUAAAGCGUGCGCAGGCGGUUCGGAAAGAAAGAUGUGAAAUCCCAGGGCUUAACCUUGGAACUGCAUUUUUAAAUACCGGGCUAGAGUGUGUCAGAGGGGGGUGGAAUUACACGUGUAGCAGUGAAAUGAGUAGAUAUGUGGAGGAACACCGAUGGGGAAGGCAGCCCCCUGGGAUAACACUGACGAUCAU